CUCCUUAAUCAGUAGUUGUAUCUCGCAGUAGGAGGUGCCAGUUUACAUCUGUCUAGGUUUCGGUCUUAGAAAUGGAAUUUGUAGUCUCGUAAAAGAAACUUAAUUCAGGAUGACGAGUUGGCAAAUUGAACGGUGUACAUAUUUACGCAAGGGCUGCAAUGUGGUGUUAAAGAAUAAGGUC